CCUACGGGAGGCAGCAGUGGGGAAUAUUGGACAAUGGGCGGAAGCCUGAUCCAGCCAUGCCGCGUGUGUGAAGAAGGCCUUUUGGUUGUAAAGCACUUUAAGCGAGGAGGAGGCUCUUAAGGUUAAUACCCUUGAUGAGUGGACGUUACUCGCAGAAUAAGCACCGGCUAACUCUGUGCCAGCAGCCGCGGUAAUACAGAGGGUGCGAGCGUUAAUCGGAUUUACUGGGCGUAAAGCGUGCGUAGGCGGCUGAUUAAGUCGGAUGUGAAAUCCCUGAGCUUAACUUAGGAAUUGCAUUCGAUACUGGUCAGCUAGAGUAUGGGAGAGGAUGGUAGAAUUCCAGGUGUAGCGGUGAAAUGCGUAGAGAUCUGGAGGAAUACCGAUGGCGAAGGCAGCCAUCUGGCCUAAUACUGACGCUGAGGUACGAAAGCAUGGGGAG
rnacentral:rRNA from 2 species